rnacentral:rRNA from 1 species
AACGAACGCUGGCGGCAUGCCUAACACAUGCAAGUCGAACGAGACCUUCGGGUCUAGUGGCGCACGGGUGCGUAACGCGUGGGAACCUGCCCUUAGGUCGGAAUAACUCCCCGGAAGGGGUGCUAAUACCGGAUAAUGUCCUUGGACCAAAGAUUUAUCGCCUUUGGAUGGGCCCGCGUUGGAUUAGCUAGUUGGUAGGGUAAAAGCCUACCAAGGCGACGAUCCAUAGCUGGUCUGAGAGGAUGAUCAGCCACACUGGGGCUGAGACACGGCCCAGACUCCUACGGGAGGCAGCAGUGGGGAAUAUUGGACAAUGGGCGAAAGCCUGAUCCAGCAAUGCCGCGUGAGUGAUGAAGGCCUUAGGGUUGUAAAGCUCUUUUACCCGGGAUGAUAAUGACAGUACCGGGAGAAUAAGCUCCGGCUAACUCCGUG